UUCAGCUAACGCCCACGGAUCGCAUCCUAAUACAUCUUCGACUAGUUUUGCAUCAGGUGGGGGAAUUCGUAAAUACUUAAUCCACAAUGCCAACAGUAUAGGGGCGAGAAAUGAAAUUGGUACUGUACAACACACUGCUUCUGAUAAACACAAAUAGAGACCAUACAAGUGGAGAAUUGCUAUACAGAAGGACUGAGGAACCCAGUGCUACAUUACAGGCAGUGCCAAAGUGCUUAGAAGUGAACAGCAAUUACACAGAAAAGGGUAACAGUGCUGAGAGAAGAUCAAGGAACAAUGAACUAUAUUAUCAUUGGCUGCUUUUAUAAUAUACUUUUAAUGACAGACUCAGCAUCUCUACUAUAUGAAAUUCAAGAAUACCAGUAUGCCAAACCAAUGAAGAGAAACUAAAACUUUCGUGGUUAUCACAUGUAUACCGAAGUAUCACUCCUGUGUGGAACUAAUUACAUACAAUGUGGUUUGUUCCAGAACUUCUAGAUUUUGGACCUUUUGAUGUGAUAUACAGAAAACAGUUCCAAAUUUGUAAUGAACAACAGGUUUAAAAGCAAAAGUGUAUUGUUUUAC